CAGUCGCCGCGGGAAUACAGAGGGUGCGAGCGUUAAUCGGAUUUACUGGGCGUAAAGCGUGCGUAGGCGGCUUUUUAAGUCGGAUGUGAAAUCCCUGAGCUUAACUUAGGAAUUGCAUUCGAUACUGGGAAGCUAGAGUAUGGGAGAGGAUGGUAGAAUUCCAGGUGUAGCGGUGAAAUGCGUAGAGAUCUGGAGGAAUACCGAUGGCGAAGGCAGCCAUCUGGCCUAAUACUGACGCUGAGGUACGAAAGCAUGGGGAGCAAACAGGAUUAGAUACCCGUGUAGUCCCUGUCUCUUAUGC
rnacentral:rRNA from 1 species